AUCCCAGAUAAGCUGAAACUGUGCUCAUCUGAUUCAUGGGAGGCCAAAAGCAAUGCUGGGGAGUUUCGCUGAUAAUGCCUUUCUUCUCCUUUUGUAACUUGAAGGCGUUUAUUAGUAACUCCUCCAUACAUGA